rnacentral:rRNA from 1 species
UACGGAGGGGGCUAGCGUUGUUCGGAAUCAUUGGGCGUAAAGCGCGCGUAGGCGGCUUUGUAAGUUAGAGGUGAAAGCCCAGGGCUUAACCCUGGAAUUGCCUUUAAGACUGCAUCGCUAGAAUUGUGGAGAGGUAAGUGGAAUUCCGAGUGUAGAGGUGAAAUUCGUAGAUAUUCGGAGGAACACCAGUGGCGAAGGCGGCUUUCUGGUCUGUAACUGACGCUGAGGCGCGAAAGCGUGGGGAGCAAACAGG